GACGGAGGGUGCUAGCGUUGUUCGGAAUCACUGGGCGUAAAGGGCGCGUAGGCGGCGCUGGCAGUCGGCCGUGAAAGCCCGGGGCUCAACCCCGGAGGUGCGGCCGAGACGCCAGUGCUGGAGGCCGGAAGAGGAGGGUGGAAUACCCAGUGUAGAGGUGAAAUUCGUAGAUAUUGGGUGGAACACCGGUGGCGAAAGCGGCUCUCUGGUCCGGACCUGACGCUGAGGCGCGAAAGCGUGGGGAGCAAACAGG
rnacentral:rRNA from 1 species